rnacentral:lncRNA from 1 species
UCCAAUUUCACAUUCUCUGACCCACUCACUUAUACACCACAUGUCUCACUCACUCAGCUACCAUUCCAUUCGCUGACUCAAAAAGAGAAAAACAAAAAAAGGAAAAAACUAAAAAGAGAGAAGAAGAAAGGUUUCUUCUUCUUCGCUUCUCUCUUCGCCUCAUUCAUCCGCCUUCCCCAUCAUCAUUUCCGUCGUGAAUCCACGACCCACACAACCUUUUACUCUCAUCUUCCUCCUUCACAAACCACAACCACCACAAAGUCAAAUCCUCGAUUCUCCACU